AAUUCAGACAAACUCCGAAUGCCAAUUAAUUUAACUUGGGAGUCAGAACAUGGGUGAUAAGGUCCGUGUUCGAAAGGGAAACAGCCCAGACCACCAGCUAAGGUCCCAAAAUAUAUGUUAAGUGGAAAAGGAUGUGGCGUUGCCCAGACAACUAGGAUGUUGGCUUAGAAGCAGCCAUCAUUUAAAGAGUGCGUAAUAGCUCACUAGUCGAGUGACACUGCGCCGAAAAUGUACCGGGGCUAAACAUAUUACCGAAGCUGUGGAUUGUCCUUUGGACAAUGGUAGGAGAGCGUUCUAAGGGCGUCGAAGCAUGAUCGCAAGGACAUGUGGAGCGCUUAGAAGUGAGAAUGCCGGUAUGAGUAGCGAAAGACGGGUGAGAAUCCCGUCCACCGUAUGACUAAGGUUUCCUGGGGAAGGCUCGUCCUCCCAGGGUUAGUCGGGACCUAAGCCGAGACCGAAAGGUGUAGGCGAUGGACAACAGGUUGAGAUUCCUGUACUUGUUUGUAUUGUUUGACCAAAGGAAGGACGCAGGAGGCUAAGCAGAGCACGUUAUUGGAUUCGUGUUCAAGCAGUGAGUCUGACACAGAGUGAAAUGCUUCGUGUUAAAGACAAGCUGUGAUGAGGAGGGAAAUAUAGUACCGAAGCUGCUGACGUCACACUGCCAAGAAAAGUUUCUAGUUAGAUACAAACAACCCGUACCGCAAACCGACACAGGUAGUCGAGGAGAGCAUCCUAAGGUGAGCGAGCGAACUCUCGUUAAGGAACUCGGCAAAAUGACCCCGUAACUUCGGGAGAAGGGGUGCUGCAUUUAUGCAGCCGCAGUGAAUAGGCCCAAGCGACUGUUUAUCAAAAACACAGGUCUCUGCUAAAUCGAAAGAUGACGUAUAGGGGCUGACGCCUGCCCGGUGCUGGAAGGUUAAGAGGAGUGCUUAGCAUUAGCGAAGGUACGAAUUGAAGCCCCAGUAAACGGCGGCCGUAACUAUAACGGUCCUAAGGUAGCGAAAUUCCUUGUCGGGUAAGUUCCGACCCGCACGAAAGGCGUAAUGAUUUGGG
rnacentral:rRNA from 1 species